CCUGCUUCUCCCCGCAGCCCCCUCAGGCGGCCUGGGGUCUCCUCACAGCCCCGCCCGCCAUGUUCUACUUGGCGCCCCCGCCGGGCAGGCUGGUGCUGGUUUCGGUGCUGAACCCGAAUUAUUUCUAGGCUGCGGACUUAACCAAGAAUUUUUUUCAAAGGGACCGGGAACAUCUCCCGUUUUCCUGCCUCGCAGCAAGUUCAGGGCACAAUUUCUUCACGAAGGGCGCGCACCCAGCCUCCAAAAGCACGCCCUUCUCCCGGCAGUUUCGAGGAGCUACCCUCAAAAUUGCUGUGUUUCAAGAAUAACUUUAAGCCUGUUCUGCAGCAUCUUUUAAAGUCUGUAAUGGACGUUAAGGGGGUGAUAUGCAUCAAGGAGUGAUGGCAAUGAGCUUCGCUACUUCCCGAGUGAAAAAUGGUGACAACUGGUGUGAUGGGAUCAUAUACCAACUUGGGGUCCUUUACAACCCAUAAGUGGCCUUGCCACCCCGUAUCCCCAUAGUCUGUGGCCAGGAUGAUUUCAGUGGAAGUUACUGGGUGAAACACAGCCUCUUUUCCAGUCACCAAGUUACUCAGUGCUGUCAAGAGCUCUCCAAAGGUAUCUGAAGUUUUUCACAGCCGAAACAAGCAAACAGGAUGAGAGAAGGUCAGUGAAGUUUGUUUCCUUGCACAUAAGAGACACAGACACCAUAAUCAUGGGCUGCAGCAGGACACUGGGACUGGGAGGGUUGUUAGCUCCUAUCUGAAGUAGAGAAGGAAUAUUUUCUGGGUCAGGGCUAUGAACAGUCUUGCCUAAAUGACUGCUGCUGAAAUCAAUGUUCUCCCUUUGCAGUCACUCUCACUGAUGAAACAGGACUAUCUGACAGAAGAGAAACCUCUCCCAGCACCACAGUUACCCACCACAAGCAGGGUCUAGCUUGGCUUGCUCACGAUGCCCAGCCUUGAAAGUUGGCACAACAAUGAAAAAUUACAGAAAUGAAAGACAAUGACUGUAAUCAGAAAAAAAACAGGCUGUUUUGUUUUGUUAAUUUCUGGGUCCAUUUCAUUUUGCCAGAUGAACAACAAAAAAGCAAGCAAAUUCUUUCCCAGGUUCUUCACAUAGACAUGGAUUUAGUUGGUCUUUCCUUUAGUAAUUCUAGCAAAUGUUCUAAUGUAAGCCAGCAGCAAAGAGAAAACUAUCUACAUUAUUUAACAGCUUUUAUAAUUAGGAGAAAAGGACUUCUGUGUCCUAAAUAUCUCUUUGCUACCUGAAUUUGCCCCGCUAUCUAAUAAGCAGAAUCUGACAGAGCUUCUCAAAGAAAGCUGUUUACACUACUACUGCAAGUAAAGCCUAGAGCAGCACCUGGAACAAUUAAAUACUAGUGAAAAUUUGUCAGGGUUGGCAGACAGUAUGUGACUGCUUCACAGCUACCUUCUCAUGCUUUGUCUUUAUAUUGUUCCUUUGUAAUUUGUGUCUCUUUUUGUUAAUUAAUGCUGCUUUUAAAAUGCCAGCUGAAUAAUUAUCAGACAACAUGUUAUUCCUUUUUAAAAGACACUCAGACCUAAAAGCAAUAAGGUAAACAAGCAGAUAAAAAGGUCUUUUAAAUUCUGAAUUUUUCAACAAUUGCCAGACCAACUCUGUGAACUUAAUAAAGGAAUUUAUGAAUCUUAUCACAGCUUGAAUGACUCAGCUAUUAAAGAAAGAGUGAAAGCAAGCAAACCCAGGCUAGCUGCAGUAAGUUUAAUGUUUGGGGGCCCAAAUAGACAAAGAUAUGAUUUUAUGUCAGUUCCUGUGCCUGCAGGAAAUGAAGUUGUCUUUUUCUUAUGUUACUUAAUGUGUGGUCUGUGGCCACUGUUAAAGCAGACCAGGUGAUUUUGAAAUCUUUCAAAGAAGCCAUUUCUCACCCUCCUCUACUCCUAUUAUACAUGUAGGUCAUCUGCCACAAAUGAAUAGUCACUUUCCAGUCCACACAUCAAAUGCAUUGAAAUCUCCCACUUUUUCUUUCAACUUGGCUGAAAUAAUCUAGUCCUAUAAUAUGGAGGCUUGAAGAAAGUCUCAAAAGGAUUUAUUUUUUCUUGAUAAUUACCCCACUGCUGUCUUGUCCUGUGAAUGCAAAGGCUUAGCAUUCCUCAAAGAUUGCUAUGGCAACACAUUGCAGUGUCUCAGGAACAGGGUAUACUUUGAGAAAGAGAAGGGGGAAUUUUAAAAAAUGAAGAGGCUGCAGGUAUUCAGGUAUUGUAAAUAACAGAAAAGAAAGUAAAUGUUAUAUAAAAGAGUAAGAAUUAAAAAAAAAAAAAACA